ensembl:snoRNA
GCCACAUGAUGAUAUCAAGGCUGUUGUGAUUCAGUUGGUCGGGCUAAGCCCGGGACCCGGACCUGUGGUGGUCUGUAAUCUUGGUGGGUGAUGCAGAGUUAUGUGCAUCCACUGUAAGGGCAGACCAACAAGAACUUCUUCCUACUUGGAAACCGCUUCUCCCAGUUGCCGGGGAGAAAUUGUGCUAACUGGAAUGAGAGUAGGAACAGGGCGUGUUCCAGGUUUCACUUGGGGUCCGGGGUCUCAGAGGACUUAGUUCUCUCAUGGCUACUGAGAGAUGAAACACAGAUCUUUGGUAAUCUGAUGGCU